GGGUUGUGAGGUUAAGCGACUAAGCGUACACGGUGGAUGCCCUGGCAGUCAGAGGCGAUGAAGGACGUGCUAAUCUGCGAUAAGCGUCGGUGAGGUGAUAUGAACCGUUAUAACCGGCGAUUUCCGAAUGGGGAAACCCAGUGUGUUUCGACACACUAUCAUUAACUGAAUCCAUAGGUUAAUGAGGCGAACCGGGGGAACUGAAACAUCUAAGUACCCCGAGGAAAAGAAAUCAACCGAGAUUCCCCCAGUAGCGGCGAGCGAACGGGGAGGAGCCCAGAGCCUGAAUCAGUGUGUGUGUUAGUGGAAGCGUCUGGAAAGGCGCGCGAUACAGGGUGACAGCCCCGUACACAAAAAUACACAUAUUGUGAGCUCGAUGAGUAGGGCGGGACACGUGGUAUCCUGUCUGAAUAUGGGGGGACCAUCCUCCAAGGCUAAAUACUCCUGACUGACCGAUAGUGAACCAGUACCGUGAGGGAAAGGCGAAAAGAACCCCGGCGAGGGGAGUGAAAAAGAACCUGAAACCGUGUACGUACAAGCAGUGGGAGCCUCUUUAUGGGGUGACUGCGUACCUUUUGUAUAAUGGGUCAGCGACUUAUAUUCUGUAGCAAGGUUAACCGAAUAGGGGAGCCGAAGGGAAACCGAGUCUUAACUGGGCGUUAAGUUGCAGGGUAUAGACCCGAAACCCGGUGAUCUAGCCAUGGGCAGGUUGAAGGUUGGGUAACACUAACUGGAGGACCGAACCGACUAAUGUUGAAAAAUUAGCGGAUGACUUGUGGCUGGGGGUGAAAGGCCAAUCAAACCGGGAGAUAGCUAGUUCUCCCCGAAAGCUAUUUAGGUAGCGCCUCGUGAAUUCAUCUCCGGGGGUAGAGCACUGUUUCGGCAAGGGGGUCAUC
rnacentral:rRNA from 1 species